rnacentral:rRNA from 1 species
AUUGAACGCUGGCGGCAGGCCUAACACAUGCAAGUCGAGCGGAUGAAGGGAGCUUGCUCCUGGAUUCAGCGGCGGACGGGUGAGUAAUGCCUAGGAAUCUGCCUGGUAGUGGGGGAUAACGUCCGGAAACGGGCGCUAAUACCGCAUACGUCCUGAGGGAGAAAGUGGGGGAUCUUCGGACCUCACGCUAUCAGAUGAGCCUAGGUCGGAUUAGCUAGUUGGGGGGGUAAAGGCCUACCAAGGCGACGAUCCGUAACUGGUCCGAGAGGAUGAUCAGUCACCGGGUAGGUAGGACGCGUCCACGACCCCGACGGGAGGAAGCGGGGGGGAUUAUUGGGGAAGGGGCGAAAGCCUAAUCUGGCCAGGCGGGGGGUGUGAGGAAGGUCUCCGACUUGUAAGGCACUUAAGGUGGGGGGAAGGGGAAGUAGUUAAUACCUUGCUGUUUUGACGUUACCAACAGAAUAAGCACCGGCUAACUUCGUG